CUCUCCAGCAAUUAAUGACAUGACAAUUGUAUUUGUAAUAAAAUGUUUAUUUGUUAAACUAAAACACAAUUAUACACAGAAAGUAUAGAAAUUUCUUCGCUGCUAGCACUUUUCAAUCUAAAAUACUUUUUUGAAAUGUUAUUAACACCAUUCCCGCUUUCUUCACUAAUCCAUGAUAUCAUUCUUUCCCGUGUCGGCCUCGCUGCAAAUGAAAAGAGGUCCCGGUAUCAUUUCAGGAAAUACUACAGACGAUCACAGCCCUAGCACACGCGUGAAAAACGCAUUAACCUCUGUGCAACUAAAUCCAGCGAGCUCCGUGUAUGUCUG